AGGACGAACGCUGGCGGCGUGCUUAACACAUGCAAGUCGAACGGUGAUCCACUUCGGUGGUGAUCAGUGGCGAACGGGUGAGUAACACGUGGGUAACCUGCCUCUUGCUCUGGGAUAACUCCGGGAAACCGGGGCUAAUACCGGAUAUUCAUUGCCGAUCGCAUGGUUGGUUGUGGAAAGUUUUUCGGCGAGAGAUGGGCCCGCGGCCUAUCAGCUUGUUGGUGGGGUGAUGGCCCACCAAGGCGACGACGGGUA
rnacentral:rRNA from 1 species